ACUAAAUUUGUCUACAAGCUACAAAUGCCACUGCCUUUUUAAGCUGGAAUUGGUUGCAAGAGUAGGAUAGAAAAACAUACUUGAACAAAAUCAUGUCUGAUCGAAGAACGAGAGGUUCUAGGAACAGAGAAGACGAGCUUGACAACCUUGUCUUGAAAUUACAAUCAUUACUACCCUCAUCAAGUUCUAGCUGCAAUAAAAGAAAGGUACCAGCAUCAAAGAUUCUACAAGAGACAUGCAAUUACAUAAAAAGCCUCAGAACAAAAGGUGACAAUUUGGGAGAAAGACUAUCUCAACUACUGGACUCCAUGGAAAACAACGGCAUAGAUGUGAACAUCAUUAGAGAUCUUCUGCAGCAAUAAUGUGUCGUGUGUCGGCGUGUGUGGAUGUCACAGAACCACACAAGUGCAUAUUGUAUUCGUCUUAUUAUCUGCUUGUAGCAUGUAUAAAAAACUAUGUUUUGAGGUUGUUGGACUCAAUCAGACAGAUAUUAAGCUAAUUAAAUACUCCAGUUACUAAUA